GAUUGCAGGCUGCAACUCGCCUGUAUGAAGUCGGAAUUGCUAGUAAUCGUGGAUCAGCAUGCCACGGUGAAUACGUUCCCGGGCCUUGUACACACCGCCCGUCACACCAUGAGAGCCGGGAACACCCGAAGUCCGUAGUCUAACCUAUAUGGAGGACGCGGCCGAAGGUGGGUUUGGUAAUUGGGGUGAAGUCGUAACAAGGUAAC
rnacentral:rRNA from 1 species